CCUACGGGAGGCUGCAGUGGGGAAUAUUGGACAAUGGGGGCAACCCUGAUCCAGCCAUGCCGCGUGUGUGAAGAAGGCCCUCGGGUUGUAAAGCACUUUCAGUGAGGAAGAACGCCUGGUGGUUAAUACCCAUCAGGAAAGACAUCACUCACAGAAGAAGCACCGGCUAACUCCGUGCCAGCAGCCGCGGUAAUACGGAGGGUGCGAGCGUUAAUCGGAAUUACUGGGCGUAAAGCGCGCGUAGGUGGCUUGAUAAGCCGGUUGUGAAAGCCCGGGCUCAACCUGGGAACGGCAUCCGGAACUGUCAAGCUAGAGUGCAGGAGAGGAAGGUAGAAUUCCCGGUGUAGCGGUGAAAUGCGUAGAGAUCGGGAGGAAUACCAGUGGCGAAGGCGGCCUUCUGGACUGACACUGACACUGAGGUGCGAAAGCGUGGGUAGCAAACAGGAUUAGAUACCCCGGUAGUC
rnacentral:rRNA from 1 species